AUUGAACGCUGGCGGCAUGCUUUACACAUGCAAGUCGAACGGUAACAGGCCGCAAGGUGCUGACGAGUGGCGAACGGGUGAGUAAUGCAUCGGAACGUGCCCAGUCGUGGGGGAUAACUACUCGAAAGAGUAGCUAAUACCGCAUACGAUCUAUGGAUGAAAGCGGGGGACCGUAAGGCCUCGCGCGAUUGGAGCGGCCGAUGUCAGAUUAGGUAGUUGGUGGGGUAAAGGCUCACCAAGCCAACGAUCUGUAGCUGGUCUGAGAGGACGACCAGCCACACUGGGACUGAGACACGGCCCAGACUCCUACGGGAGGCAACAGUGGGGAAUUUUGGACAAUGGGCGCAAGCCUGAUCCAGCAAUGCCGCGUGCAGGAAGAAGGCCUUCGGGUUGUAAACUGCUUUUGUACGGAACGAAACGGCUCUGGUUAAUACCCGGGGCUAAUGACGGUACCGUAAGAAUAAGCACCGGCUAACUACGU
rnacentral:rRNA from 1 species